rnacentral:tRNA from 1 species
GCGUCGGUGAUAUAGCAGUUAGGACUUUCGCCGACCAUGCACAUGGUCCGGGGUUCGAAUCCCCGCCGACGCA